rnacentral:rRNA from 1 species
CCUACGGGUGGCUGCAGUAAGGAAUAUUGGUCAAUGGACGGAAGUCUGAACCAGCCAUCCCGCGUGCAGGAUGACUGCCCUAUGGGUUGUAAACUGCUUUUAGUAGGGAAGAAUAGAUGUCAUUUAUGAUGUUGUGACGGUACCUACAGAAUAAGCACCGGCUAACUCCGUGCCAGCAGCCGCGGUAAUACGGAGGGUGCGAGCGUUAUCCGGAUUUACUGGGUUUAAAGGGUGCGUAGGCGGGAUAUUAAGUCAGUGGUGAAAUCUUGUCGCUU